rnacentral:lncRNA from 10 species
UCCCAGUAGACCAAUUGAUCUGAGUUGCCUCUCUGGCCAGAAGCCAGCCCUGGCAGGGAUCCAACUUCCUCUCAAGCACUGAGAAAGGGCUCAGGUGUAUCUGGUGGCCGGCAGAGCAGGUAGUCAGCCAAGGCUUCAUAGUUCUCACCCACGGCAAUUCAGCUAGCAAACUAGAGACACUUCCCCAAGAAGACACAGCGUGGCAAGACUGCUGAGACGCAUAAAGAAAUCUUAGCUGGUUUCCUGGUUGAAUGUUCUGUUGUAGAAGAAUGCAACUGAGUUUUCUAAACAGAUCUUCUUCUUGACAUCCUUGCUGAACGCUUGUUCUGAGGAUGAAGUGAGAAAAUGCCCACGAGGUGCUGGUUGCAGCAGCUGGUGCAUAGAGCUUAAAAAGGAUGCAGUCCCAAAACAUAGAAGGAUUUACUCCAGAUCCAAGCAAUGAGUCAGGAACAGAAAGCCUGAUGCCCUCACCUGGAACUCUCCCUCCUCCCUGGAUGAGGACCUUCCCCAGAAUUGCAGGGCACCCACACAAGACCAAGCAAGUUCAGAGAAAAUUGAAACCUGACUUUAGAGCCUCUGGGAUGUUCACUACACCUCAUUGAACCUGUUUGGUUCACAGAGCUCCAACUACCGUCUACUUCCUGCAACUGGCCUGCUGCCAACUCCCCAGAUCUCUUGUGGAGCUGCCGGAAGAGACAGCCUGCCACAGAAGAAAGCAGCCCUCCUCUUUCAUGGCCUCCCACAUCUUGAAACAAACACAAGCAAACAAAACAAAAGCUUGAGUCCCAGCCUGAUUCACCAGGUUUGGUUCCCAAUUGUUGAAAUUCCCUUCCCAGGGCUCUCAGAACCAGGGUUGGCUGGAGGGGUGAAAGAGGCUGGCCCUGAGCCCAGUAAUAGGACACCAAGGGGGAGCUAAAAGCUGGGAUCUGGGGUGAAGAUGGGGUCUUCCAAGCUGGGAGGCAGACACCAGGCCAGAGCAACCGGCCUGCCCCAGCUCAGGCCUCUUAACCCAUGCAGGGCAAGAGUAUAAACAGAGGCCACGGACCACAUGCCUCAGUAUUUAAACUUAUAAAUCAAGCUAACAUAACAUGAAAUCAAAUAUGUUCUAUCCUCCUAGCUUGACAAAUACUUUCAUAACGAGAUGGAAUGCCAGGUUCAGAUUUAGAAUUUUCACACUCCUUAAAGUUCCAAGUCAAAAUACAGCAUUAGGGGAGGGCCCCCAACCUCGAGGUCUCCCCUCCCCCAUUUUCUUUCACUCCCAGCUCUGUCUCACACCACGAGGGAUCUUGGGUGAAUGCCCCUCGAUACCCCAGCCCCCCACAAACAGCUGCCCUUUCCCCCCUUGGCCAAGGGUAAGCACAGCAGCAGGGCAGUCUGCCCUUGGCUGGAGAGAUGGAAGGAGAGGCCACACGGGCCCUGAAAAUGCAUUUGGGGACUCUUGGGCAGGAAACUUGGGAGUUUCUGGAGCCUCAAGGAGGGUCUAGUGGGACAGAGCCACUUGGGCCCAUGAGAUCCUUGACCCAUGGAGAAGGGUAGGGCUAGAGGAGGGCCAGGGCAGGCCCUAUGAACAGAAGAACCUAGAGUAACUGCCCUGUCCCCAGAUCCUGUCACCGAGCAGGUAUACUUGGGAGGGUAUUGGAGGGUGGAACCCAAGGGAGCUUGCCCAAGGCACUAGGAAAGAAAAGUGUAAACCUUGUUAGAGAAUGCUAAGGAUAGCUGUUAAAGCCUCAGAGAUUUUACUCAUUUUUGGCUGUUUCUAAAAAUCUUCCCCCAAAGGAAGAUCUUGCUCUCAUUGAGGAUCUGAGAAAGAAUUCUCUCCAAGUAGUUUCAAAACAUUCUGAUGUAAAAACUCUGGUGUGUUAGUCAAAAAUAAAUUUUGUUGCUUGAUGGCUUCACCAUUCACAAAAUAUUCUAUCCAUCCAAUUUAAAAAUAAGAGCAGGGUAUUUAAAACUCUUUCAAUAAACACAAAUUAAAACAAUGAAGCUUG